rnacentral:rRNA from 1 species
UGAAUACGAGACGCUAAGGCGUCGAAGUAGUGUAUGUCAUACUUCCAAGAAAAGCUUGCACUGUCAUAGAUAAAAAACGCCUGUGCCAUAACCGACACAGGUGGGUAGGUAGAGUAUACUAAGGGGCGCGAGAUAACUCUCUCUAAGGAACUCGGCAAAAUAACUCCGUAACUUCGGGAGAAGGAGUGCCUUAUUCUUAAGGUUGCAAUAACAAGAUCCAAGCAACUGUUUAUCAAAAACACAGGUCUCCGCUAAGUCGUAAGACGAUGUAUGGGGGCUGACGCCUGCCCAGUGCCAGAAGGUUAAAGAAGCUGGUUAGCAUUUGCGAAGCUAGUAACUGAAGCCCUGGUGAACGGCGGCCGUAACAAUAACGGUCCUAAGGUAGCGAAAUUCCUUGUCGGGUAAGUUCCGACCCGCACGAAAGGCGUAAUGAUUUGGAUACUGUCUCGGAGAGGGGCUCGGUGAAAUAGACUUGUCUGUGAAGAUGCGGACUACCUGCACCAGGACAGAAAGACCCUAUGAAGCUUUACUGUAACUUGAAAUUGAAAUUGGACUUUAUUCGCGCAGUAUAGGUGGGAGGCGUUGAUUAUAAUCUUGCGGGAUUAUUGGAGCCAUUAGUGAGAUACCACUCUUGUAAUGUUAGAUUUCUAACUUUGAAUCAUUAUCUGGUCAAAGAACAGUUUCAGGCGGGCAGUUUGACUGGGGCGGUCGCCUCCUAAACGGUAACGGAGGCGUACAAAGGUUUCCUCUGAACGGUUAGAAAUCGUAUCUAGAGUGUAAAGGCAUAAGGAAGCUUGACUGUGAGACCUACAAGUCGAGCAGGGACGAAAGUCGGUCUUAGUGAUCUGACGGUACUGAGUGGAAAGGCCGUCACUCAACGGAUAAAAGUUACUCUAGGAUAACAGGCUGAUCUCCCCCAAGAGUUCACAUCGACGGGGAGGUUUGGCACCUCGAUAUCGGCUCAUCGCAUCCUGGGGCGGUAGUACGUCCCAAGGGUUGGGCUGUUCGCCCAUGAAAGCGGUACGCGAGCUGGGUUCAGAACGUCGUGAGACAGUUCGGUCCAUAUCCGGUGUAGGCGUUAGAAUAUUGAGAGGAGCCUUCUUUAGUACGAGAGGACCGAGAAGGACAUACCUCUGGUGUACCAGUUAUCGUGCCAACGGUAAACGCUGGGUAGCUAUGUAUGGAGUGGAUAACCGCUGAAAGCAUCUAAGUGGGAAGCCCACCUCAAGAUAAG